rnacentral:ncRNA from 1 species
AGCAAGGCUCGUCCGCUCAGGGUCAGUCGGGACCUAAGCCGAGGCCGGAAGGCGUAGGCGAUGGGAAACAGGUCGACAUUCCUGUACCACCUACGGGUCGCUGGACCGAGGCGGGGACGCAGGAGGCUAGGGGGACCCGGCCGCUGGUUGUGCCGGGGUAAGCGGGUAGCGUGGCCCGGCAGGGAAGUCCGUCGGGCUAAACGUGAGACGCGAUGCCGACCGAAUUGGAGUAGGGAAGCCCCUGAGGCCACACUGCCGAGAAAAGCCGCUAGGGAGACCCGGGGUGCCCGUACCGGAAACCGACACAGGUAGGCGGGGAGAGCAUCCUCAGGUGCGCGGGAGAACCCUCGCUAAGGAACUCGGCAAAAUGCAUCCGUAACUUCGGGAGAAGGAUGGCCUCCCACCGUGAGGAGAGAGACGCUCCAGAGCGGAGGGGGGUUGCAGAGGAGAGGCCCAAGCGACUGUUUACCAAAAACACAGGUCAGUGCUAAGCCGAAAGGCGACGUAUACUGGCUGACGCCUGCCCGGUGCUGGAAGGUUAAGGGGAAGGCUCAGCCCGCAAGGGCGAAGGUCUGAACC